AGUAUGCACAGGAGCGAUGGU
rnacentral:misc_RNA from 1 species